rnacentral:rRNA from 1 species
AGUGAACGCUGGCGGUAGGCCUAACACAUGCAAGUCGAACGGCGGCACAGUAAGAGCUUGCUCUUACGGGUGGCGAGUGGCGGACGGGUGAGGAAUACAUCGGAAUCUACUUUUUCGUGGGGGAUAACGUAGGGAAACUUACGAUAAUACCGCAUACGAUCUACGGGUGAAAGCAGGGGAUAUUCGGACCUUGCGCGAUUGAAUGAGCCGAUGUCGGAUUAGCUAGUUGGCGGGGUAAAGGCCCACCAAGGCGACGAUCCGUAGCUGGUCUGAGAGGAUGAUCAGCCACACUGGAACUGAGACACGGUCCAGACUCCUACGGGAGGCAGCAGUGGGGAAUAUUGGACAAUGGGCGCAAGCCUGAUCCAGCCAUACCGCGUGGGUGAAGAAGGCCUUCGGGUUGUAAAGCCCUUUUGUUGGGAAAGAAAAGCAGCAGGUUAAUACCCCGCUGUUCUGACGGUACCCAAAGAAUAAGCACCGGCUAACUUCGUG